ensembl:snoRNA small nucleolar RNA SNORA15
GCAUGGCUGAAUUCUGCAUUACUCUGUCAGUGGUUUGUGCAGUCAGACACCAUGCGAGAGCAACGUCGUUCACUCGCUGUUUAGUGCAGUGGUGGCCUUCUCCCAUUUAGGCCACUGCACAGGAGUGAAUACAGUG